rnacentral:rRNA from 1 species
UGUAAGCGUAUACCAAAGUUGUUGCAGUUAAAACGCUCGUAGUCGGAAUUUGGCAGUUCCGGAUGUGUGCACGUCGUGUGCGCACUUCGCGGGGAUUGCUUUUGUGGUCUUGCGUAGGAUGAGGCACUUUUAUUAGUGAACGUCCUCACGCAACCACUUUUUACUGUGAGAAAAUCAGAGUGCUCAAAGCAGGCAUUUGCCGUGAAUGUAUUAGCAUGGAAUAAUAGAAUAGGACUUGGUUCUAUUUUGUUGGUUUGUUGGGACUGAGUAAUGAUUAAGAGGGACAGUUGGGGGCAUUUGUAUUUCGGUGCUAGAGGUGAAAUUCUUAGAUUACCGAGAGACAAACUGCUGCGAAAGCGUCUGCCAAGGAUGUUUUCAUUGA